rnacentral:rRNA from 1 species
GACGAACGCUGGCGGCGUGCUUAACACAUGCAAGUCGAGCGGUAAGGCCCUUCGGGGUACACGAGUGGCGAACGGGUGAGUAACACGUGGGUGAUCUGCCCUGCACUUCGGGAUAAGCCUGGGAAACUGGGUCUAAUACCGGAUAGGACCACUGCCUGCAUGGGUGGUGGUGGAAAGCUUUUGCGGUGUGGGAUGGGCCCGCGGCCUAUCAGCUUGUUGGUGGGGUGAUGGCCUACCAAGGCGACGACGGGUAGCCGGCCUGAGAGGGUAACCGGCCACACUGGGACUGGGAUACGGCCCAGACUCCUACGGGAGGCAGCAGUGGGGAAUAUUGCACAAUGGGCGCAAGCCUGAUGCAGCGACGCCGCGUGAGGGAUGACGGCCUUCGGGUUGUAAACCUCUUUCAGCACCGACGAAGCGCAAGUGACGGUAGGUGCAGAAGAAGGACCGGCCAACUACGUGCCAGCAGCCGCAGUAA